UGCUUCGGGAUGUUCAAGAUUCUUUCCCAAUUGUUACCAGCAUCAAGUGAGCCAGCCAAGCGUUAGUACUAAGGAGAUCAUUGAGAUGCCCAGGAAUGUGGACUCACUUAACAAUCAACAAAAGUCAAAUGCAAAGCCAACAUUACUACCUGGAAAUGAAAAUAUGGCAACAGUUUAUGAUGGACGCGCA